CAGCGAAGACCUCACCCAGGUUCAACAGAGCUGUGUCAAAUUCAGUGGCAUGCACCAGGAGGUCAUCAAGGUACACCACACAACGACUCUGGGGCACAUUGGCCAGCACCCUCACCAUCAGUAGCUCAAAUGUAGCCGGUGCAUUGCAGAGCCCAAACGGCAUGACGCGGAACUGCCACAGCCCUUGUCCAAGGGUGAAGGCA